GUCUACCCCAAAUCAAAGGAAACCUUACAAUAUCCAACAACGGAACGAUAAUGAAAUGAGCUUGGGUACCUUUACUGUCCAAUAAAAUCACACCCAGUGUCUACAAGUGAGAAUUAAGACUUUGCAGCAACAUGGAAAAGUGAUUAUAAUAUAAUAAUAACUGACAUGAUAUGAUCUUCAUUUUGUAGAAACACAGAAAAACAUAUUUGUGUGUAUAUAUAAAGCACAUAUAUAUAUAAUAUAUAUAAAACAUCUACAUAUAACAUUAGAAAGAAAUAUCCUGGGAGUUCUGUGUGGCGUAGCAGAAACAAACCUGACUAGGAACCAUGAGGUUGCAGUUCGAUCCCUGGCCUCGAUCAAUGGGUUAAGGAUCCGGCGUUGCCGUGACCUGUGGUGCAGGUCGCAGACGAGGUUCGGAUCUGGCAUUGCUGCGGUUGUGAGUAGGCCAGCAGCUGUAGCUCCAAUUUGACCCCUAGCCUGUGUGGCCCUAAAAAAAGCAAAAAAAAAAAAAAAAAAGAAAAGAAAAAAGCAAAAAGCAGAAAAGCAAAAAAGAAAGAAAUAUCCCCAAAAAUGUUAAUAGAAAUUAUCUCCGAGUCAUGUGAGUAAUUUUAAUUUUCUUCAUUAUAAGUUUAAAUGUUCUGUAUUUUUUAGUUUUUCUAUAAUGAGUAUAAGAUGUUUUUAUAUCAGGGAAAAUAUUACAAGAAAAAGUCAGAAACGUAACUGCAAGAUUCACGGAUUCUAAUUGAGAAAAACAUACACUUAAAAAAAAAAAGACUAUACAUGAUUAUAAAAAACCAGAAUUGUUUCAUAGACAGUGAAAUUCAAUAGGCCAUGUUUUUCAUUUUCUAAGUAAAAAAAAAUAGAAAACUAUAUUAUUAUUGGUCCCACGUCUUGUCAUUUAAUACUUUAGGAAGACAAUCCUAUAUAUUUUACUCAUAGUUUGUUGAAGGUAAUACAGCUUUAAAUAGAAAUUUAAAAUUAUGCCCACAUUUCACCAUCUCUACAUUAUUUUACGAUACCUCUCCCCGCCCCCGUACCCCAUCACAAUCAAACUUACUGAUGGCAGAUUUUUAAGAAAAAUCUAACUCGUGCUACUAGUCUGACAAGUAUUGCCCCAUACUGGAAGCAAGAAGAAUGCUUUCCAAGUGGUCAGUCGUCAGUCUUCUGAACUACAUCAAACCUGUUUUUCCAGCUUAUAAGUAACCUUUCAAUUAUGCAACUAAAAGUACAACCUAAAAAAAAUAGGUCAGGAGAGGAAAGUCUGACAAAUUCAUCCAGGUGAACAUAAUGUUAUCUUUCCAUGUGAGUGUAUAUUUCACCAACCAGGUGAUACUCAAGUUAAAACCAGGUAGGUUUAUCUGACACCAUGAUUAAAGACCUUCACAUCUAGAUAACUCAACCAUAAAAGAAUUUGUCCUUUUAUAGUUCUCAAAAGGCAUCUUGAGUUGAGCUUCCAUACUCUAGAAGCUCAAGGUAAAAAGAUUCAUGGUCAUCGGCGUUCACAGAGGACUCUGAUUUUCCGAGGACUCCGUUUUUUUUAAUCAUCCCCAAUUACUGCUUAAAUAAACUCCUACCUGGAUGUGCACUAAGGUGUUGCUAUUGUUGAGUGGGAGGAUUUCAGGUGAUUUUUCCAUUUUACUUUUCUGUGUGUUUCUCAUUUUCUUCAACAACCAUGGACAACAUUUAUAAUAAGUUAAAUAAGUAACAUAAAAAAUAAAACACUUAAUUAACAUGCCAUUUAAUUCACUUAAGUAGCAACUCAGGGUGGAUUAUGCUGGGCACUCCCUUACCGCAUUCCUCUCUGAAAGAAAAGGGCUGAAAGUCAGGGAGUAAAACCAACAGGAUCCAUCCCAAGCUUCUUAGAGAGCAAUGGAUAAAUGAGCUCACGAAUAGGAAAAGCAUUUUGCAGAGUAAGAACCUUAAAAAAAUAAGAUGCUAAUAGCCCUUUUUUUUUUUUUUUUGCUAUACCUGCAGUUCCUGGGCCAGGGAUUGAACCCGAGCCACAGCAGUGACAACACUGGAUCCUUAACUCACUAGGCCACCAGGGAACUCUCAAGAUGCUAAUAGCCUUGUGGGCCACUUCCUUUUCCUUGGGCAAAUCCCCACAGGUGUACAAACCCCAGCUUUGCAAAGAGUUGGAUUCUUUUUUUUUUUUUUUUUUUUUUUUUUGCUAUGAUCACAGCAUGUGGAAGUUCCCAGGCCAGGCCAGGGACUGAACCUGCAGCAACCCAAGCCUCUGCAGUGACAACGCUGGAUCCUUCACCUGCCAUGCCACAAGAGAACUCCAAUAGUUGGAGAUCUCAUUUUCACUCUUUGGGUCCCAACUCUGCCCUUACGGUGAGGAAACAAACAUGACGGGUAGAGUGUGGCUGUGUGCCCAUAACAAUUUAUUUAUGGAUAUCAUGAAAAUUACAUCCCUUAUGAUGUUCAUGGUCACAAAAUAUUCUUUUUUUUUUUUUUUUUCAACCACUUAAAAAUGGAAAAGCCACUCUUCACUCAUUGGUCAUUCAAGAGAGAUGGCAGGAUGUGGUGUGUGGACCACAACUGUAGUUCUCCCCUAAAGGAUAAAAAAAGGAUGGCAGAAGACAAAGGGAGAGAAAGGUUCUCUCAUCCAGAGUUUCCCAGAAUUCAUCAUUCCUGCAGCACCAUCACAAUUCUUGGCAUGUCUGGGUAUCCAAUGGUUUACCUACCACACAUACAACAGUUUAACCCAUGUUCUUUUACUUAAUACACAUUUACGUUAAAAGGGAAUUUUAGUUAUCACUAUUCAGAGUGGAGAACUCAGUUAUCUGAAACAGAAGGAAAUGGUGCAAAUGAGUGCGAAAAAGUUAAAUGCUCGUCAGGCCCGCUCGUCUCCCAAGGGCUCAGCACCUGAGGCCUUCUUCUCUUUGUUAAAUAGGAGGAAUCAGUGAGUCUGGACCGGCGUUAAGAAUGAACAGAGACUUUUUUCCUUAAUAUAAUCAGGCAGAGUGAAGGUGAACCCUGUUAGGGCUACUGAAUGCCAUGGCCAUGGCCAUGGCCAUGUCCCACCUGAAUCACCAAGCACAGGAACUCAAAUCAUCCCAGGCCACCUUCAAGGCAUAUUUUAUGGUGUUGGGCAUUAAACUGGUCCCCAAAUCCAAGACUUUCUUCGAUUAUUAUAUCUGGAACGAAGGGCCAUGUUCACUUUUUUUAGGACCAAAAUUUGCUUCCUAUGAACUUACCUAAACUUAAAACGUGGUGGGUGAGCAUUAGAGCACAUGGGAAGGUCAUAAAACCUCACUGAGUAUGUCCAAGAGAACAAGAGCAGAAUUAUCUUUUUUUUUUUUUUUUUUUUUUUUUCCUUUAUUUUCCGGCUGCACCCAUGGCAGGUGGAAGGUCCCAGGCCAGGGAUUGAACCCAAGCCACAGCUGCGACCUAUGUCACGGCUGCAGCAAUGCCAGAUCCUUAACCCACUGCCAAAAGUAGGAUUGUCUUUAAGGACAAGAGGAGAAUUCCUAAUUCGCUUUUCUGUUUGUUUCUAGGAGGCCCAUAACUAUCAUUAGGCUUAGACAGUUAAUUUGCCACCUCAGUCUUGUGAGUUUUGGGGUCACUUCCACAUCUAUUCUCCUGCUUUGGGGCUUUUAGAAUUGAAUUUAUGGCCUGUGAGAGUUCACCUCUAUUUUAAUUUUAGGUCCAAAGAAUGCCUGUGUUUUUCAGUUCCCCCCGCCCUGUAAGCAAUGAGAUUAAAUCAGUAUUUAAAUUUUGUGUGAAGUUUACCAACAUUUCCCACUCUUCAUUUUUGUUAUUGGUUUAAGAAUAAAAUUUUGUCUUAUUCUUUAACAUUAUAAUUGCUACUUAGGAUUCUAGGUUGUAAUUUUGCUGUUAUGUAAAUUAUAUCACUUCAGUAGCAAAACCCAGCAAGUAGUAUUUAUUUCCUUCCUCUGCCUUGAAAAU
rnacentral:lncRNA from 1 species